rnacentral:tRNA from 1 species
GGAAUUUAGCUCAGUGGUAGAGCACUUGCCUAGCAAGCACAAGGCCCUGGGUUCGGUUCCCAGCUCCG